UGGCCUACGGGUGGCAGCAGUGGGGAAUAUUGGACAAUGGGCGCAAGCCUGAUCCAGCCAUGCCGCGUGAGUGAUGAAGGCCCUAGGGUUGUAAAGCUCUUUCGGCGGGGACGAUAAUGACGGUACCCGCAGAAGAAGCCCCGGCUAACUUCGUGCCAGCAGCCGCGGUAAUACGAAGGGGGCUAGCGUUGUUCGGAAUCACUGGGCGUAAAGCGCACGUAGGCGGAUCGUUAAGUCAGGGGUGAAAUCCCGAGGCUCAACCUCGGAACUGCCUUUGAUACUGGCGAUCUUCGAGUCCGGGAGAGGUGAGUGGAACUCCGAGUGUAGAGGUGAAAUUCGUAGAUAUUCGGAAGAACACCAGUGGCGAAGGCGGCUCACUGGCCCGGUACUGACGCUGAGGUGCGAAAGCGUGGGGAGCAAACAGGAUUAGAUACCCGGGUAGUCAUA
rnacentral:rRNA from 2 species